UACGGGGGGGAGCAAGCGUUGUUCGGAUUUACUGGGCGUAAAGGGCGCGUAGGCGGUCAGCACAAGUCAAUUGUGAAAUCUCCGAGCUUAACUCGGAAAGGUCAACUGAAACUGUGCGACUAGAGUGCGGAAGGGGCAACUGGAAUUCUUGGUGUAGCGGUGAAAUGCGUAGAUAUCAAGAGGAACACCUGCGGCGAAGGCGGGUUGCUGGGCCGACACUGACGCUGAAGCGCGAAAGCCAGGGGAGCGAACGGGG
rnacentral:rRNA from 1 species